rnacentral:rRNA from 1 species
CCUACGGGGGGCAGCAGUGAGGAAUAUUGGUCAAUGGACGAGAGUCUGAACCAGCCAAGUAGCGUGAAGGAUGACUGCCCUAUGGGUUGUAAACUUCUUUUAUAUGGGAAUAAAAUGUUCCACGUGUGGGAUUUUGUAUGUACCAUAUGAAUAAGGAUCGGCUAACUCCGUGCCAGCAGCCGCGGUAAUACGGAGGAUCCGAGCGUUAUCCGGAUUUAUUGGGUUUAAAGGGAGCGUAGGUGGAUUGUUAAGUCAGUUGUGAAAGUUUGCGGCUCAACCGUAAAAUUGCAGUUGAAACUGGCAGUCUUGAGUGCAGUAGAGGUGGGCGGAAUUCGUGGUGUAGCGGUGAAAUGCUUAGAUAUCACGAAGAACUCCGAUUGCGAAGGCAGUUCACUGGACUGCAACUGACACUGAGGCUCGAAAGUGUGGGUAUCAAACAGGAUUAGAUACCCUUGUAGUC